rnacentral:rRNA from 1 species
GAUGAACGCUGGCGGCGUGCUUAACACAUGCAAGUCGAACGAUGAAGCUCAGCUUGCUGGGUGGAUUAGUGGCGAACGGGUGAGUAACACGUGAGUAACCUGCCCUUAACUCUGGGAUAAGCCUGGGAAACUAGGUCUAAUACCGGAUAGGAGCGUCCACCGCAUGGUGGGUGUUGGAAAGAUUUAUCGGUUUUGGAUGGACUCGCGGCCUAUCCGCUUGUUGGUGAGGUAAUGGCUCACCAAGGCGACGACGGGUAGCCGGCCUGAGAGGGUGACCGGCCACACUGGGACUGAGACACGGCCCAGACUCCUACGGGAGGCAGCAGUGGGGAAUAUUGCACAAUGGGCGAAAGCCUGAUGCAGCGACGCCGCGUGAGGGAUGACGGCCUUCGGGUUGUAAACCUCUUUCAGUAGGGAAGAAGCGAAAGUGACGGUACCUGCAGAAGAAGCACCGGCUAACUACGUG